rnacentral:rRNA from 1 species
AUUGAACGCUAGCGGCAUGCUUUACACAUGCAAGUCGAACGGUAACAGGCCGCAAGGUGCUGACGAGUGGCGAACGGGUGAGUAAUGCAUCGGAACGUGCCCAGUCGUGGGGGAUAACGCAGCGAAAGCUGCGCUAAUACCGCAUACGAUCUAUGGGUGAAAGCGGGGGACCGUAAGGCCUCGCGCGAUUGGAGCGGCCGAUGUCAGAUUAGGUAGUUGGUGGGGUAAAGGCUCACCAAGCCAACGAUCUGUAGCUGGUCUGAGGGGACGACCAGCCACACUGGGACUGAGACACGGCCCAGACUCCUACGGGAGGCAGCAGUGGGGAAUUUUGGACAAUGGGCGCAAGCCUGAUCCAGCAAUGCCGCGUGCAGGAAGAAGGCCUUCGGGUUGUAAACUGCUUUUGUACGGAACGAAACGGUCCUGGUUAAUACCCGGGGCUAAUGACGGUACCGUAAGAAUAAGCACCGGCUAACUACGUGCCAGCCGCCGCCGUAAAAC